rnacentral:rRNA from 1 species
CCUACGGGCGGCAGCAGUGAGGAAUAUUGGUCAAUGGGCGCGAGCCUGAACCAGCCAAGUAGCGUGAAGGAUGACUGCCCUACGGGUUGUAAACUUCUUUUAUAAAGGAAUAAAGUGAGGCACGUCUGCCUUUUUGUAUGUACUUUAUGAAUAAGGAUCGGCUAACUCCGUUCCAGCAGCCGCGGUAAUACGGAGGAUCCGAUCGUUAUCCGGAUUUAUUGGGGUUAAAGGGAGAGUAGAUGGGUUGUUAAGUCAGUUGUGAAAGUUUGCGGCUCAACCGUAAAAUUGCAAUUGAUACUGGCAGUCUUGAGUACAGUAGAGGUAGGCGGAAUUCGUGGUGUAGCGGUGAAAUGCUUAGAUAUCACGAAGAACUCCGAUUGCGAAGGCAGCUUACUAAACUGCCACUGACAUUGAUGCUCGAAAGUGUGGGUAGCAAACAGGAUUAGAUACCCCAGUAGUC